UACAUGGGGUGCAAACGUUGCUCGGAAUUAUUGGGCGUAAAGCGCACGUAGGCGGUUUGUUAAGUCGGAUGUGAAAUCCCUCGGCUCAACUGAGGAAGUGCAUCCGAAACUGGCAGGCUUGAGUACUAAAGAGGGUCGCGGAAUUCCCGGUGUAGAGGUGAAAUUCGUAGAUAUCGGGAGGAACACCGGUGGCGAAGGCAGCCCCCUGGGUCAAGAUUGACGCUCAUGCACGAAAGCGUGGGGAGCAAACAGG
rnacentral:rRNA from 1 species